rnacentral:tRNA from 2 species
GCCCCGAUAGUGUAGUCCGGUCAAGCAUCGGAGCCUCUCAAGCUCUGGACCCGGGUUCGAAUCCCGGUCGGGGCA